AAAACCCUGAUUUUUUUUUCAAAAGUCAUUUCUUUUUCUUUCAUGAAAAGUAACAAUGAACAAGUGUGAUAAGAACACCAGCCAAAACCUGACCCCUGAAAUUUUACUCUGAACUGAGAGCUCCACUUUGAUCAGACCACCUUCCCAAAGCAGCAUGUUGCCCCAUUCUGACCCUGAGAGCACCUGGCAGGUAUGUGGAAAAAAGAAAUGUGCAUUAAAACAGUCUAUUUCCUAUCAUUAAAUACUUACAAGAAGUAAAAGAUAAAAAGAAAGAGCCAAUGGAUGUAGGAAGCUUUGGGACCUCUCCUCUCCAGCUAUCUGAGAGAUACUGCUUCCCGCAAACAGUUUGCCUCUGUGAUCCUUAUUUACCUCUACCUUUUCCAUGAGAUUGAGAACACUAUAAGAAAGCCUACAAAUGCUAUGGUUGCACAUACAGAAAAAUCCAAGACCUCAGAGACUUCUUCCCAUCACUCUUUGAUGUAACUGAUUUCUCCCCAUCAGUAUCCUGAUCAUCUGGUUCCUUCAUUUCCUCUGAUCCAGGAUGACCCACCAGUAGGAGGGUGCAACUACCACCAGAGACCUCUGACCUCUGCAAGACAGCUAAUUAUAAUCACAGAUUCUCUUUCUCUAGGUAAAUUGUCAUUGUGGUGCACUUUGGUUUUCCAGAGGUCCACUACCAAAGUUCAUCUUUUCCCCAGAUGCUUCACCAUUAAAAUUAACUUUCUGCCAUCCUACCUUUGGUCCAUCCCUCCCUCUUUCUCUAUUUUCAAAUUCCCUUGGAGUUACUAAUCAAUUUCAGUUUUUAAAAUAUUUUUUGAGCACACCUGCAGUGUAUCAAGUCUUAUGUUGGGUACUAAAUUACAAACCUGGAGAAGAGAAAUAUGGUCCCUAACUUUAUGGAGCUUGUUUAUAAAGAUAGAUAUUAAACAAGCAAUUAAAAAUAAUGAGUGCUACAAAAAGGAAAAUGGUACUGUGGGCAUGUAUAGCAAGAAGCCUAAAACAUGAUGGGGGGUUAGAGAAGAGGUGUUUGAGACAUGGAUGAUGGUCAGGAGUUGGCCAGGCAAAGAAUGUGAAAGAUACAUUAGGCACAUCAAAGAGGGCUGCAUCUUUAAAGGGCUGCAAGCAGUCUAUUGGCCAGAGUGGGAGAGUAAAAUGGAUAUUGAAGAGAAGGUGGGUACCAUAUCAUAAAGUUGUCUCUAAGCUUUGCUAAGAAGUUUA
rnacentral:lncRNA from 1 species